UGCCUGUUUCUAUGCUUAAAUAAUUGGUUGAUAUACAAUAUUUACAAAUGUAUGAUUUGUAUAUAUAGAUUACAGAUCUAUCUAAAUAAAACAAGUGAAACUGCGAGCUACUGCUCACUGAUGAUACCCCCGCCACAAGUGGAUAUUAAUAGUGUAAAAAUAUGCAAGUGUUCGGUAAACAGGAAGUUGUUGAGUGAUGAAUCUGAAAACGCAUAACACGGUAUAGAUGACUUAUAAAAAUCCUGAAAACAAAUUUCAGAAAUCCUUGUAUUGUAGUUCCUGAGAAAAAUGUGACGAAAAUUUUUAACUUGGUUAUCAUGUGUAAAAUCAUACAAGUGAUCGGUAA
rnacentral:lncRNA from 1 species